rnacentral:lncRNA from 1 species
CUUCCCUUGUCAUACGUGAGUUCUUCAACUAGACAGACUGGAAACCAUCCUAGACAGAUUAAAUAGCUGUUCAGCAUUUAAUCUGGUGAUGAAGCAUUGUAAAUUCUAUAAGCAUGAAGAGUGACUUAAAUAUCAAACAUACAGUAGAUCUCUUCUGGCAACUGGUAAAAUAGUAUAUUUAAAACAUCAACAAUGGCCUGGCUUGGGCAAUGGCCUUAACCACAAUCACCUGUGUGGCACCAUAACCUGAUAAUCUCACUAGAUCAUAGGGUUGCUUCAGUGGUUUACCAACCUCAGAGAUGUUGGUAUUUGGGUCAGCACAAUUCUUUUCUUGCAAGGAGGCUACCUUGGCUUUUGGUUGUUUGACAGUGUUCCUAGGUAGAUAGUUGUGGCAUAUUCCACAUUCGCUUCAUGUAUGACAACCAGAAACAUCUCCACACAUUACCAAAUGCUUCCUGGAAAACAAUCAUACCUCCUGUCUAUGGUAGAAGACUGAUCAUCCACAGCUUCUCCAGAACAUAUUCCUUGCACUGCAGAAGCAUUCUGCAAAAAUGUCCACCAGGCUCCAGCAACUGAGCCACCCAUCUGGGAAACAGCUCCGGAACCCCUUCCGACACCAGGCAGGACAAGCAGCAAUCACUAAACCUCUGCCAGCUCAUUUGCGGCCAGUGUUUUUCACAGAUGCUCCCUGGUACACAUCUGAUGACAGUCACUUCACCUCCCAUUACGUUUUCUAAGAUAUUUUAGAACAUGAGGCAUCAGAAAGAAAGCUGUGUCAGUGGCAUGGACCUGUGUCACUGACAGGCAAAGACUGCCAUGACAAUUGGAAGAAACUAUGGAUUCCACUGUGAAUGUUGCUGGAAGUGAAGGAGACCUGGAAGGAGUGAAGCUGCUCUCAAAAUCAGUGACUUCGUCAACAUAGAGGGUUACUCUCUCAGCCUAGACACACUGGGGAGGGUCCAGGCCCUGCUCCAAAUGAUAAGACAGACUUUGAAAGAUUCCCAUGGAAGGCCUCACCCUCCCUGGGGAACAGAAAGGAACUGGGAUGGGAGGGGGGUCAGAGGCGG